rnacentral:rRNA from 1 species
GAUGAACGCUGGCGGCGUGCUUAACACAUGCAAGUCGAACGGAAAGGCCCAAGCUUGCUUGGGUACUCGAGUGGCGAACGGGUGAGUAACACGUGGGUGAUCUGCCCUGCACUUCGGGAUAAGCCUGGGAAACUGGGUCUAAUACCGGAUAGGACGAUGGUUUGGAUGCCAUUGUGGAAAGUUUUUUCGGUGUGGGAUGAGCUCGCGGCGUAUCAGCUUGUUGGUGGGGUGAUGGCGUACCAAGGCGUCGACGGGUAGCCGGCCUGAGAGGGUGGACGGCCACAUUGGGACGGAGAUACGGGCCAGACUCCGGAGGGAGGCAGCAGUGGGGAAUAUUGCACAAUGGGCGCAAGCCUGAUGCAGCGAGGCCGCGGGGGGGAUGACGGCCUUCGGGUUGGAAACUCCUAUCACUAGGGACGAAGCGUUGUUGUGACGGUACCUGGAGAAGAAGCACCGGCUAACUACGUG